GAACCACUCCUAUGGGCAGCCCAGCUGAAGAGCUAGGGGGGUUGGACCCCUACUUGCAGAAGUAGGUUGCUAUAUACAGGGAGUAGGGCACAGCAGCUAGGAGGCCCUGGGAGCCCUACUGCACUAAGGAAACACACUCAAUGCUAGUCUCAGAGGCUAAGGCCACACACACACAUAAGAGGAUCACCCAGUCAGGGCUAUGCCCAGAUAUUAAUAGUACUGACUCUGGCCUGCACAAUCCCCAGGCCAGUUGCUGUGAGUGUACUUCAGUGUUAGCUGCUUGCACAUUGACCUGGACUUGCUGGGAACCACUAGUACCUCUCCCCAAAUUUUCUGGAAGAAACACAGUUCUGCCUCCCAAUGCAUACACAGCACGACAAGGAAAUCUGAGGCCCCACCAGGCCAGGCGAUCUGAAUGUCAGUGCUGAGCUGGGUGCCCCUCCCCUGGCCCCAAGGUGCCUCCUACAAGGAUAAACAAAUCUGAAAUUCUACCCUAGCACAUCCAAGAAUAACUGUUCCACCCCACCUCACACAGGCUCCAGUAAGCCCGAUGGCCACCUUGGCCUCAUCAGUCAGCAGGGGACACAGCAACCUCCCUGCCCACAGCAUGGAAAGGGAAGAUCCGGUCCCAGCCUCAGCUGAAAUCCCUUUAUUGACUUAAGAUCUAAUCAGAGAGGUUUUGCUGGCUUUGGGGUUCUCGUCAAGGGGUGGGCUGGCCUCAUUGCAACCUCAUCCUACCUGGCUGGCCUACAGCACUAAGUCUGGCAGGGCUCAGAGAAGGAAGCUUCCAAGUGGACUUCAUGCAUCUGAAAAGGAGCCACUCUGGGAGCCGCCUCGGAGGCAGCUCUUCUCACUACCUAGGUAACAGCGCUGUCAUCUAUGGCUCAAAGCCACUCACCAGGGAGUUGCUGCAGACCUGUAUGUAUCCUUAUACAGAGAAACAGAGAGAGGCUACUGAGGACCUAAGCCGGUGCCUCAUGGAUAAGGAAACUCCAUGGAAGUUAGAGCUGCCCUGUAAUUUGCAUCCCCCAUAUCUUAGAAACCAGAAUGAAAGGCCUACAGCAGAGACUGAAGAGAGGAAGGCUCAUCACUUGGACCACCAAAGAAAGGUCUCAAGAUCCCUCUGCUAUGGUUAAAUCUAGUCAAGCAACCCAUCCCGGUGCUACUGUGGAAUUCCUGCAAGAGGCAGAAGGCGGUUCAGAGUCAUCAAAGCCAUUUUUACAAGGUAGACAUAGGACUGGGGGAUUAAAGGCUUUCAUGGCCUCACUUGCCAACCUGCCUCCCCCCCCCCCCCCCAAGGCUCUGGGUGAGUACCUAUUAACUUCUCUCCACUCUCUAAUCCCAAAUCCAUCUCCACUUUGCAUAUCGACAUGAAAGCCAAUGGCGGUGCUGGCUAAGGUCAGACAACUCCAAGGAAAAGGCCUCAGGGGCAGGCAGAUAGGGAGCCAGGUGCUGGGAAAGGCAAUAGGAGAAACCUCAAGCUGGGCUUUAGUCUACCAGCGACUCCCUCCCCUACUGCUGCCAGUGCCUGAGGCACCAGGGCAGUUUGUAUCUUCUCAAGGUGUAUCCCCAGGAACCUUCGGAGGAGGAAUUUGGCCACGGCCUCACAAAGUCUGACUCCUGGUCAGAAUGCCUGGAGUGUGUGAACUAGCUGGGAUUCACCUCAUCCACUGCCAGCACCUCACUUUCUAAAGGCGUCCGGGGUUACAGCUUCUCAGGCGGUGCACUGUGGCAUGCAAAGCCGGAAGACAUUUGGCCUUCAACUGACUCAUACAGACCGGAAGAGGUGUCACGAGCAGUUUCCAAGCAUGGUCACUGCCCCCUGGCGGCCACGACCUAGAGUUGCUACAAGUGAUGAUCAGGCCGAGUGAAGACAAGGACCCUUAAGUCUCCUACUUCCUACAAGGACCCUUAUCUCCCCUUCCAUUCUCCUGAAAGCCUCGAAAGUCUCAAAGGCCCCCAAACUCUCGGACAGGUGGCAAUCACCACCCCAUCUUACAUUCACAAGCACCACUGGCCGCCAGGUGCAACUUUGCGCUCAAUUUCGACGAACUCAGAAGGUCGAACACGCCUACCGCCCAGCUGGGGGCCCAGAGCCAAGUGCGCACCCACUAGGAACAGAGACCCACGCUAAAGAUGUCAAACAGGUUUCCAUUCUCAGUGCCUCCAAAAGCUGGAGCUUGGGCCAGUUCCGCCUUCCGUCCGCUGGGGCCCUCCAGGUCGUCUGCCACCUCCCUCUCCCUGGCAGGGGGUGGCUGACACAUAGCCCAGGAGGCCCCAGGGCGCUGGAGAGCCGCCGAAACCUGUCCAGGAUCCACAAGGCUGUAGAGAUCAAGCUGCCCAUCUAUGGAGAUGCCGGGAGCCGUCCCGGCUCUAGGAAGAGAUGCAAGCCGUGCUCCGACCCCUCCCAAGAGACAAGCGCGGCCCCUGCCUUAUUCAGGCCCGCGCCUACCGGUCCUCGCACGCCGUUUCAUUCUGCUCGGCCUGGCGGCCAGGCACGUCUGGGGCCACAGCAGACUGCAGGGGCGAAGGGGCGGCGCUCAUUGAGGCCGGCGGCGCAGCCAUGGCGUCCCGAACCUGGCGGAGGCCGGGGAGGCGCACCGGGAGGCAGGCACGCUGCGGACUACAAUCCCCACAAGGCCGUGCGGCAAGCCCCGAGAAUGACCUUUGCCUCAACACAAACUCAGCCACACAAAAUCCCUGGAAAAAAAAAAUCAAUAAACAUUUAUUUGAUACAGUGACUUUAAUACAUAGUUGAUGGCCCACCACCGCACCACUCCGGGCCAGGGGAUGAGGAUGAGGACAGAUGACCACAAGGCGGGCAGGACCAAAGCUCACCUCAAAACAUCUUGCAAAUAAAACACUUUGUAGAUAGAAUAUAUAUGCAUGUAUAUCUAUGGUUACAAGUGAUAGCCAGAAAUGCACUUGUGUAAUGAGAACUGCAUUAUAACCAAACCAAGGAACCCAAAGUUUAGGAGGCGCUGCAGUCAGGUAUGUGGGGUGACCUGGGAAACCAGGUCUCCAGGGCAAGGGACCUGGGUUUCACCCAACAGGGGAACAGCUCUCCCUUCAGAACCACCAUAGGGACAGGAAGAUCCCAAAGCCUCCAGGAGGCACCAUCAUCUGCCUGUGCAGGAACAUAAAGUGCACCCUGGUUCUGCAUGAAAUGUCUGCCCUUGGCACUUCUGUUUUUUUAGGGCAGGGCAAGCGCUGAGCCAGAGGUAGAUCUGUAGAGACCCUGACUUUUGCAUUUUGCCAAGGACCCAGGGUUGGUUUGGCCCUCUAAGUCUAUGCCCACCCACCUUCUGUAGCUCUGCCAUGAUGGUCCCUCUUACUGAGGAUCUGUGUAGGCUGGUGGUUACCUUUGGGCCAUAGUAGGGAGGUGGGCAGACCGAUGAGCCCUGCCACCAUGGAAGAGCUUUACAGUCUAGUUUGCCACUACUUACCAGUCACCACAGGCUGGUACCUAUCCAACUGCAGCUUUUGACAGCUGCCCCAAAACUGACCUCAAAGACUGAGUUAAAGUGCUAACAUCAAGUUACCCAGAACAGUCCCAUAGCAAGGCUGUAUAUGGGCUUUCUGGUUCGUCCUGGAAAACUCAGCCCCCAGCAAACCCAGGUCCUACUUCUCCCUACAAGUGCCAAGUACCUGAGAGGCUAGGGUGGAUGGUCACACCCCACAGAGGUGUUGUGAAAAGUGCACUUUGGCCCCCUUCCCUUCCACAGUUGCACACAACCACUCCAAAGCCCCAGCCUACCCUUUGACACUGGAUCAUACCCACCUCUGUAGCCACCUCUGACCACAUCAAAGUGUGUAGGAAUUGGAGAGUCCAUUCAACACCUACAACACACCAGGCCAUGGUUACCUUGCCCAGAGUCAGAGCCUUUCUAAAUACAUGUGUACAAGGACCUCACCCCAAAUCUCCCUGGAGCUGGCCUUCUUGGAAACGCUCCCUGCUGAGGCUGGGGGCAGGUGCUAGUCAGUACCACAGCAAUACCUUCGGCACCAGGAAACCCUUAGCACCAUGACAUUAAGAUUGUUGAGUUUUG
rnacentral:lncRNA from 1 species